rnacentral:lncRNA from 1 species
UGUGAUACUGCAAUAUUGUUGUGCAUUAGGUAAGAACCAUCUGAGUGAAAAUAAGAUUGCUUGACUGAAAUAGUUUUACUUCUCGGAUUCAAUUACAACUCAGAUGGUAGUGUAUGGAUGAAUCAUAUGGGAAGAAUGCAGCAAAGGUUGGCAAUGAGACAAUAAUCUGAUGCUAAUUCAGUAUCCAUGGCCCUUGCCUGCCUGCACC